rnacentral:lncRNA from 1 species
AUUCUACAGCAGGUGUUGGCCACAGACAAACUGGAAAGACUGGUGGUUCCCUUCUCAGGGCUCCGGAAACCAGUGUGGAAAUGACCUGUGACUUUUCUCACGUAAACUGCAUGUUAAUUAAAAAUAAUAUGAAUGUAAUACACAUUCCAUAUUUUUGUGUAAGUACGAUAAGUAACACCGUUAUUACACACUUCAGAAUGACUGUUGUGCGGUGAUAUACUUUUUUGUUUAAUAACCUGCUGUUUUGGAAUACUGUCCAUUGUUUAACAGAGUCUUUCCUUCAAGAGCUAAGUUGCUCACUGGGUGAAGACUUAGAUGACAACGAAACACCACCAUAAGCCUCCAGUGAUUGGUCAUUAAGAAAAAGUCUUGUUUCUGAGUGGUGGGCGAAAGUGAGGCCCCGGUUGGUGGACAACAUGGUGGCUAAGCAGCAUGUGGCCAGUCCAGUCUGCCAGAAAUGUGACUCCGGUCCAGCUAUGAUCCACUGUUGUGACUGUCGACCACACGCCUUUCUCUGUGCCCGUUGUGACAUCAACAUCCACAAGGCUCAAGUCUUCCACAACAGGGACUCAAUUAGAGAAGGCUUCUUUCAGCCGUUGCCACCAACAUCAUGUUUUGUGGAGAAGGUUCUUACCCAGUGUGUGCGUCUUGUACCCUUGGAGAUGCCAGGGACAAUAUGUAGCUGUUCUCAGAGAUUAAGUGUCAUCACUGGAAAACCUACUGCUGUGGUUACAAUGAAUGGCCGAUAUGAUCUCAACUUGCCAGAGUUGAACUGUGAGGUAUGCGAAGCCACAUGGCAUGCUGGAGUGGAUGAGCUGGUCCAUAAUGACUACUGGCCUGCUACUUCACAAUUUUCUACAGUAUAUGCUACAGACAUCCUAUUUUCCUUUGAGGAGUUGAAGUUGGCAGCACCUGGGAUGUCCAGCCUAGCAUUUCUUAGAAUGCUAGAGAAACGAACUGUCCGCUUUGGCCGUGUAAGUAUUUGUGGUGAUAAUCUUAGAGUAACUCACGAUUACAGUAUGAGGUCAAGGGAUGUGUUAAAUUCAGACCUUUUGUCACAGGUGUAUAAACGGCUAAAGUGGUUUGUGAAGAAGGGGACACACCUUGAUGUGUUCUCCCUAAUAUCAUUUGCUGAUCACAUAAAUGUUCAUUUGGAAACAUUCUGGCCAAACGUUGCACUGGCUAACUCUUAA